rnacentral:piRNA from 1 species
UGGAUCUACGAUUGGCUUUAGCUGGACAGU